rnacentral:ncRNA from 1 species
AUUUUGGCUAUGAAAAAAAUGAGUAGAUACUAUUUUACUAUUAAGAGAGGAAGUGGAUGGUGAAAACUUCUUAGUAUAAGUAUUGAAGCUGUUUUGGAGCCUUUAUUAUAUUGAGAGAUAUAAGUUAUGUGACUUAUAUAAUUAGGGUGGUACCACGGAAGCUUUCGUCCCUUGU